rnacentral:piRNA from 1 species
UAAAAACCUAGCCCUCUGGACACCCAAAUGA